UUUUUUUUUUUUUUUUUUUUUUGAGGCAGGGUCUCAUUCUGUCACCCAGGCUGGAGUGCAGUGGUGCAAUGAUGGCUCACUGCAGCCUCGACCUGGGCUCAAGUGAUCCUCCACCUCAGCUUCCUGAGUAGCUGGGACCACAGAGUCAUGUGCUGUUCCUGGGGCUUGGAUGAUGUAGGGGAAGCAAGGUGAAAGUGGUAUCCCGUGGUUCCACGUUCUGUCCUGCUGUGGGGCUGUCCCUCACAUGCUUUCAGUGGCUGUUGCAGAGGAAGAGCCUCCGGAAAUCUGCGUGGGUAAAGUGAGCUCCCCGGGGGAACCGUCCUCCUCCCUUGAGCGCUGGUGUGUCCAUAGUGUGCUGUGAUCUGGAUUAGCAGUGAGUUUUUCUUUCAGGGUGUGUGUGUAUGAUGUUAGGACCAUAUGCUCCUGACCUUUUCCAACCCAAAAGCGUUUCCAUUUUUUUAAUGCUGGAAGUGUCUUAACUCCUUUUGGGGUCUUAGAAGGACACACGGUGGCCGUGGCUGGGCCUCUGCUCAGCUGGGCUGCUCUCCCUGCCUCAGGCCCUUGACACCAGCCUCCCUCCCUUGCUGGCUCUCUUUCUGUCCUUCCCUGCUCUUGUAUCCAAAAGUGAUCAUGGGUUGCCUGUGUCCCGAUCAUUAACAGUGCAGGGGUAGGAGUGCUGAAAGACAUCUUCCCUGCGUUGGUCCAGCCUUCCCUUUCAAACCCUGGAGCUUUCCCACGCUGCAGCCUUUUUCCAACUAGGCUUUCAGAGCUUGGGCCUUUGUGGGCCCAUGUGAUGUGGUGACUAGACCCACCCCCUGACUUCUGAGGGUUCAUUUUGUCUUUUCAUGUUAGGGAUCCUCCUGCCAGAAACCAGUCUGCAUUUCUCUCUGGGCCCCACGCUGGAAUGAAUUCAGAUAGCAGUGAAGGGCACACGUGAGAACUGCGAAUCACGGGCUUUGCUUCAUGAAAUGUGAAAUCCACAUUGUUUCCACAGGCACCAUCAGUAAUGUCGAACAAAUGGAGAAAGUUGCAGGUGGGGCUAGGAAAGCUGUAUUCCUGUGGAUUACUCUAGCUGGUCAUUUGCCCCGAUUGUGAACUGCUUGAAAGAAAAACGAAACUUCUAAGAUGUUUGUCCUUUCAUGUCCUUUCUGUUGGGAUUUUUUAUUUGGUGUGCGUGAAUGAGGAGCUUCGCCCUGCUUGAAUGGGACCCCUCUCAGUGGUGUCAGCUUGGGGAGGAGGAGAUGGCCCUGGAGACUAAAUACUUGUAUGCUUUCUUACCCUCUUAGGUCUCAGCCUUAGAUCCAAGGACAGUCCAAGGAAGUCCUAAGACCAUGGAGUUGGUGAUCUGGGAUCUGGGUUUGCUGAUAUUUCUCACCGUGAAUCUCUUGGUGGUGUUUGUGGGCACGAGAGGGGCAGAGAAUGGAGAGUGAGGCUACCACAUGAAGCGUCACCAGAGCUGCUCCCUGCUGCCUGCUCAGAGCACCCCGGAUCCACUGUUCAAUCUGCACAAGAUUCGGGGUCCAGACAUGGGAGACUUCAGCUGCCUCAGAGGACCGUGGACAGGGAAGGCCAGCCUCGCAUCCCUCUGUCCAUGCCUGGAAUGACUUUAAUAACCAAGAGUUUUAUUUUUGAAUUUGUAGCUGUCGUUCACUUUUUACCCACCCAUUCAAUAAACCUUACAGAAUUGCUCCA
ensembl:lncRNA SNHG17 small nucleolar RNA host gene 17